UGGAGCUAUGGAAACAGCAGACAUCGCGCCGGAGCCUGCUGGCCUCCCAUCUGGAGCCUCACAGACACUGAAGGAUGCGACACAAAAGGAGCCAAUAAGAAAUGGAAAUGGAGUCAAAGAAGAGGAAGUCGUUUCCCGAGAUGCAUCUGUGAGAGUGUCUGGCAGGUGGAAGGGAGGGAACGAGCAUCAUUGAACUUCUACUACUCUGUCUCUGCUACAGCACCUCAUAUGCACUGCCUCGCUCAAGCCUCGUACCAUGAGGUUGUUCAUAUCAUGGACGACUGCGGCUGCUCUCUGUGUGGUGAGCUAUGGUGCUCUACAGACCGGUCACCUCCGACACGACUGAAGACCCGAAGGGACACGUGCUCUGGCGGCUCCUACCUGCUUCAGAGAAGGACCGAGCCUUGAUUCUCAGAGGAGCAAAAGCGUACGCAGGCAGUCCGGCACAAUCAUUGCCACUUUUCCACUUCCAUGUUGGUGACAUCAGGUAACAGAUACAUGGGACAUAAUUAAAAAUAAACGAGAAAAAGGUUUCCAUGGUUCACGAAAGCAGUAGGAGUAUUGUGAGGAAAGCUUAGAAGCAUUUAUCUGCUGCUACCCAAAAUUUAGCAUUUGACUUUAAUUAUGCCUCCUUAGGAAUUAAGCAAAGCAGAAAAUGUUUCAACACGACCAGCUGCUGCAGAUCCAAACUGUUUCACGGGUGAACUUUUUAUUUCAUCUUUUCUGUUGCUUUUUCAUCAUGCAAUAAACCCCACUCGUAACAGA